AGGUUAAGCUACUAAGAGCGCACGGAGGAUGCCUAGGCACUAGGAGCCGAAGAAGGACGUGGCGAACGACGAAAUGCCUCGGGGAGCC
rnacentral:rRNA from 1 species